CGCGCCAGCCACCGGGGAAGCAUUGACUGCUAUAUGAAUGGCAGGUGACUCGUCCGCGGCUUCUUGCACGGGAACAUACAUAGUCACCUCCUCGAGUUUCUCCAAGCUUCCGCUUUGCGAAGCGUAAUAGUAGAGGGAGGAAGAAAGCUCUUUUGCUGAGGCAUGUAAUGCAUGUUUAUUGAAACAGAACACAGCGGUUUCAUUCUCUCAACAUUUACAUUGUUGACAAACUCUGGGCGGGAACACGCCCUCUUCGCCGCGGGUCCGACGAACACGUCCCACGCUCUCUUCCCCCUGGCACGAGCAUCAGGAACGCUGAUCCUUCUUGCCCGCAGGGCGCCCUUGGCUGCUAGAGGCUGGUUUAGUACCAAAACGGGGCUUCCUGGGCUGCCUCUGCCGGAAU